UUCGCUCAAAGAAUCAAAUGUGAAAUUUCUACCAUAAGCUUGCAUAAAGAUCACUUCUCCACAGUCAUAAUUGCAAAACUUAAAUCAAGAGGACUUUUAUUGGAUGUAAUGAGGCUUAGGGAUAGGGUUAUUGAAACGAAAGAAUAGGAAAACACAAGUUCCAAGCUACAUUGCAAGCAAUUCUUUUCUUUAGAUUUAUAAGAACUCAAGCUCUCCAGCAAUUCUUCUAGCACCUCCAACCAUACUCUUAAACUGAAACUUUAAAAACUUUUUAUUUUCUUUUUAUACAAUCUUUCUUUUUUUUUUUUUUUUUUUUUUUUUUUUUUUUUUUUAAUCACAAACAUGAAAUACCCCCACACUUAUUCUUUU
rnacentral:lncRNA from 1 species